GGUUACGGAGGUUUAGUGGUUAGCACGUUUGCCUCGCACAUCGAAUCUCAGAGGUUGAGGGUUCGUGUCCCGCCGUGGCCC